GACGAACGCUGGCGGCGUGCUUAACACAUGCAAGUCGAACGGAAAGGCCCCUUUGGGGGUCCUCGAGUGGCGAACGGGUGAGUAACACGUGAGUAACCUGCCCUUGACUUCGGGAUAACUUCAGGAAACUGGGGCUAAUACCGGAUAGGAAUCCUUGCUGCAUGGUGGGGGUUGGAAAGCUUCGGCGGUUUUGGAUGGACUCGCGGCUUAUCAGCUUGUUGGUGAGGUAGUGGCUUACCAAGGCUUUGACGGGUAGCCGGCCUGAGAGGGCGACCGGCCACAUUGGGACUGAGAUACGGCCCAGACUCCUACGGGAGGCAGCAGUGGGGAAUAUUGCACAAUGGGCGGAAGCCUGAUGCAGCAACGCCGCGUGCGGGAUGACGGCCUUCGGGUUGUAAACCGCUUUCAGCAGGGGCGAAGCUUGUGGUGACGGUACCUGCAGAAGAAGCACCGGCUAACUACGUG
rnacentral:rRNA from 1 species